rnacentral:lncRNA from 10 species
AAAGGUGCCUCCAUGGCUGCACUGACAGUCUCCAGCACAAGAGAGGAGAAACAGCAUCGGAGGAGACAACAGUCUCCCUGCGUAUGCAAGACACGGUGCGGAAGUCAUCUCCCCAGCAUCUCAGCCCCUGCCCACUGCUGCUUGGGACAAGGUAAGCUGUGGGGGAGGCAGCCCGUGUCCUGGGAGCUUCCAGCUGGGACCCUGAUGACACAUCCCUGUGCAGUCCCAGUCCUUGGUGGUGAGUUCUGAGCCACAGCAGCGUUGGGCGCUGGUGUUCCUUGGUGAGGAGGUGCAGGGUAGCUGCCUGUCCCUCUCCUCCGUGACAUUAUCCGCCAUUGCCUGCCACAUCCCCCAGUUAUCAGGGAAUCGCAGGAUGAUGAUGAGAGUUUGUCAGCCUUCUGCGCUCGUUGGCUGGAAUGCUUUCCUAUGAAGGAGCGUUCCCUCGUCAGCUGUUGGCGACGUGGAUGUGUGGUUGUGUAGGACGGACCGUCCGGAGACACGCUGGAUUCUCUGCCUUUAUUCGCUAGCUUCCAAAACAAUAAGCUGGUGGUCUUGCCUCCUCCAACGCUUGCCCAUGAGGGUUUUCAUCAUUCUGAAUGUGUGAAGUUGCACGUAUUUGAUAGGUUUCAACCCACUGGGGUUAGGAUCUGUGUUGAUAUGUAAUUCCUCCCGUCUUCGGCUUGUGGAAAGCUCUUCGACUCGAUUCCCGAUGGUUUUGACAUGAUUCCAGAAAGCUUUGAUGGCUUCCUUGCUUUGGGGAUGACAAGAAGCUCCAGGCUCCUCUUGGACAUUUCCUGGCCCAGCCAGGUAAUCGGACAUUUCUCCAAGGAGCUUGACAUGGGGACGUGGUCUCAGUCCCUGGGCACCAGGAGCUGAGCUCUCACUGCUCCUGGGCUGGUUUGUUCCCAGGCAGGCUAGGAAAAUUACUUUCUUAAAGAUUAAAAAAAAAAUCACAAAUUUAUGCAGAUACUACCCGAUCCAACAUAGGCUUGCAGGAUCUUACGCAAUUUCUUCACUUUAUGCUUGUACCUCCUUUCUCUCAUGCUGACAAACUGGUUUCCCCAGACUUGGAGAGGUCAAUCGUGUUAUUAUUUUAUCUUUGAGUAAAUGCAGUCUUAGAAUAGCCACCGAUAUUAUUAGUCACAAUAUAAU